GAUGAACGCUGGCGGCGUGCCUAACACAUGCAAGUCGAACGGAGUCCAGCCUUAGAGACCUUCGGGUCAAAGAGGGGAAGACUGAGUGGCGGACGGGUGAGUAACACGUGGGCAACCUGGCUCAUAGAGGGGGAUAACAGAGAGAAAUUUCUGCUAAUACCGCAUAAGCACACACUGCCGCAUGGCAGAGGGUGAAAAGAGAAUCGCUAUGAGAUGGACCCGCGUCUGAUUAGCCAGUUGGCAGGGUAAGAGCCUACCAAAGCGACGAUCAGUAGCCGAUCUGAGAGGAUGAACGGCCACAUUGGGACUGAGACACGGCCCAAACUCCUACGGGAGGCAGCAGUGGGGGAUAUUGCACAAUGGGGGGAACCCUGAUGCAGCGACGCCGCGUGAGUGAAGAAGUAUUUCGGUAUGUAAAGCUCUAUCAGCAGGGAAGAUAAUGACAGUACCUGAAUAAGAAGCC
rnacentral:rRNA from 1 species